rnacentral:rRNA from 2 species
ACACAUGCAAGUCGAGCGGUAAGGCCUUUCGGGGUACACGAGCGGCGAACGGGUGAGUAACACGUGGGUGAUCUGCCCUGCACUUCGGGAUAAGCCUGGGAAACUGGGUCUAAUACCGGAUAUGACCUCNNGUNGCAUGANNNGNGGUGGAAAGAUUUAUCGGUGCAGGAUGGGCCCGCGGCCUAUCAGCUUGUUGGUGGGGUAAUGGCCUACCAAGGCGACGACGGGUAGCCGACCUGAGAGGGUGACCGGCCACACUGGGACUGAGACACGGCCCAGACUCCUACGGGAGGCAGCAGUGGGGAAUAUUGCACAAUGGGCGAAAGCCUGAUGCAGCGACGCCGCGUGAGGGAUGACGGCCUUCGGGUUGUAAACCUCUUUCAGCAGGGACGAAGCGCAAGUGACGGUACCUGCAGAAGAAGCACCGGCUAACUACGUGCCAGCAGCCGCGGUAAUACGUAGGGUGCAAGCGUUGUCCGGAAUUACUGGGCGUAAAGAGUUCGUAGGCGGUUUGUCGCGUCGUUUGUGAAAACCAGCAGCUCAACUGCUGGCUUGCAGGCGAUACGGGCAGACUUGAGUACUGCAGGGGAGACUGGAAUUCCUGGUGUAGCGGUGAAAUGCGCAGAUAUCAGGAGGAACACCGGUGGCGAAGGCGGGUCUCUGGGCAGUAACUGACGCUGAGGAACGAAAGCGUGGGUAGCGAACAGGAUUAGAUACCCUGGUAGUCCACGCCGUAAACGGUGGGCGCUAGGUGUGGGUUCCUUCCACGGAAUCCGUGCCGUA